rnacentral:rRNA from 1 species
GAUGAACGCUGGCGGCGUGCUUAACACAUGCAAGUCGAACGAUGAAGGGGGAGCUUGCUCCUCUGGAUUAGUGGCGAACGGGUGAGUAACACGUGAGCAAUCUGCCCCUGACUCUGGGAUAAGCGCUGGAAACGGCGUCUGAUACCGGAUACGAGCCGAGCAGGCAUCUGCAUCGGUUGGAAAGAACUUCGGUCAGGGAUGAGCUCGCGGCCUAUCAGCUUGUUGGUGAGGUAAUGGCUCACCAAGGCGACGGCGGGUAGCCGGCCUGAGAGGGUGACCGGCCACACUGGGACUGAGACACGGCCCAGACUCCUACGGGAGGCAGCAGUGGGGAAUAUUGCACAAUGGGCGGAAGCCUGAUGCAGCAACGCCGCGUGAGGGACGAAGGCCUUCGGGUUGUAAACCUCUUUUAGCAGGGAAGAAGCGAGAGUGACGGUACCUGCAGAAAAAGCACCGGCUAACUACGUGCCAGCCGCCGCAGUAA